AAGAAGAUUGUAUAGAAAAAUACGAAAAAUUUCCUUUGCUGCGAAAUAAUGUGUGCAUGAUAAAAAGCGUAAUAACGUACUUAUUUUUAAAUAUAUUAUUGACAUAUCUUAUCGGAAUACGGAAUGUAUAGGUAGGUACCGCUCAUGGUACGGGGAACUCUAUCAUCACAAGUUCCAAAAGAUAGCGUCUUAAAAUGUCCACACAUAUUUGAUUUUGAAACUAGGACAAUGUCUAGCAAGAAAAUUGUUGUAAUUGGUGACGGUGCGUGUGGUAAAACGAGUCUGUCAGUUGCCUUCAGCCAAAACGAAUUUCCGGAAACCCACGUUCCGACAAUUUACGAUACGUACACCAAAACAAUAACUGUCGAUGAGCAAAAUGUGGAACUCACAAUCUGGGAUACCGCCGGUGAGGAAGAUUACGACAGACUUAGGCCUUUGUCGUACACAAAGGCAAGUGUUAUAAUCGUGUGCUUUACAAUUGACAAUCCGGUUUCUUUGAAAAACGUUAAGACAAGAUGGGCGCCCGAAGUCAAACAUUUCUGCCGGAAAGUCCCCAUACUCCUAUUGAAGAUCUGAAAAGAAAUAACAUGCAACCCGUUAAGUUCGAACAAGGUUUGAAGGUGUCGAAGAAAAUUGGGGCACGGAAGUACAUCGAAUGCUCGGCUAAACAUAUGGUGGGGGUGCAGGACGUUUUCAGAAAUGCUGCCAGAAUUGCCUUGAAGACGCCACAGAAAAAAGGACUCAAGCGGUUAUGUCGAUGUGUCCGUGUUCCGUGCAAAACUACCUGAUUAGAUAUCAGUAUUACUAUUUUUGUAUUUCGCCCAAGCAAUAAAAGUAUUAUUUUUC